CGACGGGGCGCGGAGCUCCGUGCUGCUGGCUGAGCUCCCGGCGGGUUAAGCCGCCGCCGCAGCCGGGCGAGGUGUCGACGGUUGGCGUUAUCGAUACGCUGCCCGCCCGACCGCGGGUCAAUUGGCAUUUGCCUGCCUUUGACCUGGCGCUUCUGACGCGCGCACAUUGAAGGGCGCGAUCUUUCCCUCUGUUGUAAGGGACAGAAAACGAGCGGAUGCGCUGUGGCUGAACAAGACAUUCCAGAAUACAGCUCUGUAGCCCGCCGAGAGAGACCCUGAAAUAUUCGGGAUCCCGAAAUUGCUCCUGCAGGAACACCAGAGGCAGGACUUGCACAGCAGCUGCUGGCAGCUCUGGGCAGAGGGUGCUGAUGGGGUCCCGACUACUUCCAGCCGUAAAGGAAAGUUCACAACGCAGCCCAUCUCGACUUGCAAAGAGACAGAUUUGCAGAGAUGAUGCAGCCUGGGAACGCUGAUAAGAACAGCAGACAAAGAUGUCAUCGAGUUAAAAAAAAGAGUUGGGGUGGUUCCUUGCUAGGACCUGAACACCAAAUGACUAUUGCCUAGGAUCCAAAGGGGAGACGUAAGCUUGCUGCAGAAUUCCUGGUCAGACUUGGAUGGUCCAGAACUGGCAGCCAAAUGCCUCUUGAGCACAAAGCCGAUCAGGACGUGUAAGCUUCCCUCCCUUCUCUCAAGUGCCAAAAUCAGAGUGGAUGGAGACUGCUGACUGCCUCGGGUCCAGGCUUUCCUGCUGGAGAAGUUGCCUCUAGCUUUUAUUCAAGAGAAUUCAUUUUGUCCAAACGAGUGAACCUUCACAUCGCUCCCAUCUCUGUCUUGUACAGGCUUUAUGGUGUGGUUCAAUAGCUCACGGUUAGGAAAGAAGAAGGUGUCUUCCCAUUCUACAGGAUUCUUCUACAAGCUCUUCAAAUGUCACUCGGCAAAGAUCAGGAAUCCUUCACUGACGUCCCCACAGUCUGGGCUGCUCUCACUCACCCACAUUCUGCCCCUUUCUGUUGUCCCGUGGAUGGCUAAGAAGCGGGGGCUGAGUGCCCUCUAAUCCAGUGGUUAAGGGCCUCACUGCGGAACGAUAAAUCAGAUUGUACGUUCUUGCAGUAGGUCAUGAAGCUUUUUAACCAGGAGAUCUUUUCAGAGGCGGAGAGAUCUCUAAAGAUUUUUACGUUUAAAUUCAAUUUCAGUUUUAAACUGCCCCCGAGUUUGUCUUCACGUUUCACUUCUUCAGGCUGUCCAGCAGGCAUAGAUGAUGAUUAUUAUUUUUUUUUCCCUGGAAUAAAAACAUUUUAAUGACCAGUUUUGUUCAGGGAUGAUUCAUACUCUUAAACCACCCAAGGUUGUUCUCUUAGUCACGGGUGUUAGACAGGUCCCAAAAAAUCCAUGCCAUUUUGAAGACAAGGUCUUCGAUUUCACUGGAUAAGAUUGUGGUUUGGAUACCUCUGGCAGGCACUUCAGGAUACCUAAGUGUGCACAAGGAGACUAAAAAGACUGGAGUUAAGUGUUUAGGCUGUUCCCUUCUGAAGAAAAGCAAAGUGUAAGUCUUUGCCUUUUCACUCUAAUGACUUUUUUAGGUUGACUACAAACAAAACAGGAGACCCUUAAUGGAAGGAAUUUAUGUCCCCUUUACUGAACAUAAAUUCAUAGCCUUUUCUUCUAUAUGGACAGUAUCUUGCUUAUCUGUAAGACUGUCUGGGUUCUGUUCAAUUAUGAAGAACCAAAAUACCGAAGUCACUCAGGGAAGGUCAAAGUUAAUGGUCAUGAGCCACUUCAGGUGGCCAAGUGACAGAGGAUGUCUGUGCCUACAUCGUAUACCUACAUUAGUACCCGCACCUACAUUUUAGUUCAGAUCAGCAGUGCAACAGCUUUGCAAGAACAUCUCUUCACCCACUGCACUUUGGUUUCCACUGAGCAGUUUCAGAUGAGACCAAAUUGGAAGAUGCCCUUCUGCUGCCAAUGGGAGUGCUGUGCGAGAAGAGUUCAGCCUACAUCAGCUGGAUCCAGAGACUGUAAAAUCAGUGUUAUUUGGGACUCUUGAUUCAGACAGCUGACAGUUACACUUUUUGUAUCCAUUUCUUUCAGGUGCUUCAGGAAUGAGCUUUCCUACCUCUGGACAGUGACAGAACACUUCUGCUCCUACACGAUGAGUGUUCUGCUGGGAAAGGAGUCCCUCCACUUUGCGGUUGCUCUGUGAGUUAUCUUUUGGUGUAAGAAGGAAAAAAAAAAAGGGGAUUGAAGAGUUCUUGGUUGCCUGGCCUGCAUCCUUACCCCAGCCUUCAGAAUUCUGCUAGACUUUGUAUUGUCCUCACAACAUACUUCUAACAGUCUUCAGCAGGAUAUGUAAUAACUCCCAUUAACAUGGACAUUGAACUAAAGCUAACAGUUUUAGGGUUCUCAGGUCGGUUGAAUAGUUAACUCUUCUUGUGCUGACAUAUUAACACAUUACCUAGACUGUUUUUUUUUUUCUCACUCAAGUGUACUUACAGUAAUUUCAAUAAUAAUAUUUGCUAUACAUUUUUAAAUUUACAUCCAAUUGUAGAUUUUCUUUUCUCUCUCUCUCAUUUUCUUCAUCAGUAAUAUAUUGUUUUGAAUAAUUUGUACCUGUGUGUGCUUGAAAGGUGUGUGCAAUCAUAUAAUGACAGGGAAACAUUAAUAUUAAUAAUAGUUGCAUAACACUGAGCAUUUUUACCAGAAAAAAAAAAAAAAGAAAAGGUAGCCCCUUCAUCAUUGUAAGUGGUUUUGGUGGAGUGUUUUGUCUGAUACUGGACUUCAGUGGAUAGAUUUGUAGAGCCUCCCCUUGCCUGGAGAGGCUGUGGGAAAAGUGAAGUGUACUAAGAACAGGUUAGACUAAUUCGGCAAGGUUGUCAAUGCCUUACAACAGGAGUUCUCUUCUGCCUGGCUUUGUAUGAGUCUACGACAUGGGAAUAUUCAAACUGAAGUUUAACUCAUUUCUUCCUGAACUGAGAUCACCACUGAGAUCACACCCCUCCGAGCCCCAGUGUUCAUUGGUAGCCCAUGUCUUCGCUCUUCCUCUCCUACCAAUGCUUGUGACCAGCAGCAUGGCCACCAUGCUGCCCCACUGCCUGAAAUGCUCAUGUAUGCCAUCAUCUCCUCUCAGUGCAGCGGGUGGGAACCUUGCUUCAGUGCCUGAAAUGGGCUAAGUCUAUCUUGCCUAUCUUCUCCCUUGCACAAUCCCAUGAACUAGGAUUUUAAAUUUGGUGAUGAAAAUUCGUCUCAGUAUGCAAACAAAAGGUACUUCUUUCAUAGACAUACUGAAGAAAUGGUUCCCUUUAUUUAUUUGGCACUGAUGUCAUCUACCUUAGCAAAAAUCUUUUAAUUAUCUAUGGAAAGUCCUUUUCUUGAAAUAGCAUUGUUAUCAUUUUCAUUUUAUAACUUCUCUGUUUUGUUUCAACUCCCAACUGAAAACACAUUUGCUGCAUCGUUUGAACCUUAUUUUCUCUUCUUACUGCUUUCACCAGAUCUAUAAUUAUAUUUAAUUUCAUAAAUUAGAGUAUGUCGUUUAUAUUAAAAUUUACAUAUAAGCUAUUUGAAUUGCAUAAUGCUACGCAGCGUGAAAAAAAGUGAGUGUUAGAUAGUAUUGGCAAAAAACUGUCAAUGGUGUAACAAGUCAGUGACAAACUCGGUCCUUGGUACAACAUUUUUUUGGCGUGUUUUAGCCUGUACUAGGCAAGGAAGUUUGUAAUAUUUACAGAAAUACUUCUUUCCAUAAUAAUCUCCCAAGUGAGGAUGCUUAUUAUCAGUGAUGUAAAAGAUAAAGGCAGUUUUCAUUAGCGUUUCAUAUUGAAAAAACAACUUUUGUUACCGAUUCUAUAGAAAGAGUAAGAGAGCAGAACAUACAUUAAGCAGUAGAUCUCUAAAUUUGCAAUUAUUUUUCUUGUGUUUUACCAAAUGCUGUUUAUAGGAAAUGAGUAAGGUCAUGCCAAAAAUUCUCAUUUGCCCAGAAAGUAAAUGACUCAUACUUGUGUCUUCUAAAAGACCCAAAAAGAAUUAAACACGGAUCUUUUAAAGUACGAGGGUGUCUUAUUUCCAUCGAUUUUAAUUCCCUCAAGUAGAUUCAAUGGGAUUUUAUGUCCUGAAUUCCUUGAAAAUAUCUGCAUACUCUGAAUGGAAUCGGCCCAAAGCACAUUUAUGCCUUAUGAUAGAAACAGAUUGUUGUAUUGUUUCUUGUUCGCCCCCCUCCAGUUUUUUAAUGCUUCAAGUGUUUUCCAGCUAGGAUGGUUAUACAAUGGUUGUAACAAAAGCUAUAUAAAGUUCAUUUUUCUUAGAUCUAUCUGGGCCUUUACUCCAUUUUGCAAGUAGAGUGCCAGUCCUUCCGGCACCUGAACUCAUUGCCUUAAAGUAAGCUAGUAUGUGACCAUGUAGCUUCUCUAUGCCAGCUGCCUGUGUGCAUGCUCUUACUCUGAUAAAUACAGGAGGAAGAAAGUAAAAGAAAUCUAGAAAUUAUCAUUCAGAGGAAAAAAGUACAUGCCUCCCCCCCACAUAAGUUAAGAAUGAGGGAGAACUGGCAUUUACAGUGGAGUAGAUUUUAUCCUAUGAAUUUAUUCACAGGGAUUUGAGCUUACUGUAGAAGAGGGCAGCUCUUCUUGUAGAAAACUUGUAGAUAGCCUAGCUGUGGCCUCUUGCUGAAAGGCUGGGACUCUGAUUUCUAUUUUGCAAUACACAGGAGGAUACCAAAGGACACCUUAGCUACAAAAUACUCUCACUUCCUUUGCUUUUCACCAAAACCCAACCUAUCUUAGCAUAGGUACUUUUUUUUAAAGUGAUUUAACAAUUAAAGUUGUUAGAUGCCAGAAAAAAAAUAAUUAAUAAUUUUCUGUACUGCUAUAAUCCUAUUACAAAAAUGUGCUGCAAAUGUACUCAUUAGAUCUGCCAAUGAAUUUGACCAACAAAACACCAUGUACUUUCACCUGCUUAAAUUGAAAUCAGUUGAAAAUAUCUGUGAAGCUCUUAUCUGUCAGUAGAACCAGGCUUUAAAACAUCAUUUGUGAAAACACGAAUGCAAAGUAUGAUCCCAGUCUACGAAAAUUAAUGUAAAUGUUCCCGUCAACACAUGGAAAAUGUGAAACUUGUGUCCUUUUCUUCUGUUGGCCAUUCAAUGGACAAGUAAAGUGCCUUCAUGUUUCCCAUACAAUCCACAUCAGCAUUAAUUAAUGUUGAGAUUUUCUGGAAUAGAACUGUGAUGGUUUUUUGUUUUGUUUUGUGGUUUUUGUUUGUUUGUUUGUUUGUUUUCCCCUCAGGUUUCAUGGGAAUGACUUGAGAGUACUAACAAUAAGCUUGGAUCUACCAAUGCAGAAAGUUAGAACCUGUCUCUUCCUGCUCUUCACCAACACUAAAAGCUGUGGUCAGAUUAGUCAGAUGAUCCAGAUGAAAGCUAACAGACCAAAAAAGAAGACUUCAGUUUUUACCAGCCACACAAACAUCCAUUCGUUUGUGAAUGCGGGUGUAUGAGAAGCAGGGAUAGGAUGAAGUCAAAGAGAAAGACAGGACCUUCCAUUUCAGCAGUGUCUCUGUCUGGAAUCAGCUAAGAUACCCAUGAAAUCUCAUCCCGUGUGACAGACAGAAAUUCAAACAAGGAAUCACAGAAUUGUAGGAGUUGGAAACAAAGACGACCUGUUUACCUAUUGGAGAGUAAAGCUGGGAUGGAUUUUGAAUUAUCAUGAAGUUAAAUUCUCCAUUGAGAGAGAAACAACGCUAGCAGCAGCUCACAAAGGCCAGCAGUCCUGCUGAUCAUGUUUUUAAAUGCCCUGGUGGCAUCUGUGAAUUAAGCAUUUCCUUUUUUUGCUUUGCGGCCAACGCAUAGUACGUUGAAAUCAGAUAGAUUUGGCAUAGAUCCAUCGUCACUGGCUGUUUCUCUGUAUACUAUGUUUACUUAAGACAAUGAAGUAUUGGAGAAAGAUGUUUGAGGCUGGUUGAGGAGUAUUAAGUAAUAUGCCUGCUCACUACAGAGAAGGCUGUAAUAAGCGUCCUCAGUCAAUAGCUUCUGGCCUGGAGCAUGAACAGUGCUUGAAUGGAGCCUAAAACUGCCAUUUUACCUCCAGAAAUGAAGAGAAAAAAAAAAAUGAUACUUCCAUGUUCACCCUAGCCUUUCUGUCACCCAGUAGACUGGAGGGAAAGUUCCUACUGCAGUAGCAUAGCUAGCCAGCAGGGGCAGCGGUGGCACAGGUAAAGGCUCCCAAAGAGACCUUUCGCUCUCUCCUUGCGCUGGUGGCUGUGCUAGUUGAGAAGUCCCUGUCAACUGGUCAGUCUGGAGAUUUCAUAUGUUCAGAACCAGAUGGGAGCUAGGGGGUAUGCUCUCCUGAUGUCGUUCCUCACCUUCCUCACAGGCAGAUCUCCAAAGCUUGAACUUCCAAGUCACAUCCCACCUCACGGUGCUUCCCACACUUUUCUUUCUGUGAUCUCAGGCUCUUCACAGUCAUAGAAUCACAGAAUGGCCUGGGUUGGAAGAGAGCUCAAGGAUCAUCACGUUCCAACCUACCUGUCAUAGGCAGGAUUGCCCACCACUAAAUCAAGUACUAGGUCAGGUUCCUCAGGGCUCCAUCCAACUUUGCUUCGAACACCUCCAGAGAUGGGGCAUCCACAGCCUCUCUGGGCAGCCUGUGCCAGCACCUCACCGCUCUCUCAGUAAAAAGCUUCCCCCUGACAUCUAAUGUAAUCUUCCCUCCUUUAGUUUAAAACCAGUCCCCCUUGUCCUAUAACUAUCUAUCAGUGCAAAAAAGUAGAGUUGCCUCCUGUUGCUAAUCUCUCUUUAAACAUUGGAACGCCGUAUUCCACAGCCUUGUCUUCUCAAGACUGAACAAGCCCAGCUCCUUCAGUCUGUCUUCAUAGGAGAGGUGCUCCAGCCCUCUGAUCAUCUUUGUGGCCCUCCUCUGGACCCUCUCCAAAAGCUCCACACCUUUCCUGUGUUGGGGGCCCCAGAUCUGCACACAGUACUUCAGAUAGGAUGUCACAAGGGCAGAGUAGAUAGGGACAGUCACCUCCCUCACUCUGCUGGCCACUCCUCUUCUGAUGGAGAGCCCAGGAUACCAUUGGCCUUCAGGACUGCAAUUGCACACUGCUGGCUCAUGCUAAGUUUUUCAUCUACCAGGACCACUGAGUCCUUCUCAGCAGAUCUGCUCUCAAGGAGUUCUUCCAGUCUGUAUACAUGGGAUUAUCCUGACUCAAGUACAAAACCUUGCACAUUGCUUUGUUGAACCUCACUGGUUCACAUGGGCCCACCUUUUGAGUUUAUCAAGGUCCCUCUGGAUGGCAUCCUUUUCUUCUGCCAUGUCAACUGAACCACACAACUUCGUUUCAUCAGAAAAUGUGCUGAGAGUGCACUCGAUCCCAUCACCUGUGUCACUGAUAAAGAUGUUAAAGAGUACUAGUCCCAAGACAGACCCAUGGGGGGCACCACUUAUCACCAACCUCCAUCUGUACAUACAGCUAUUGACCACAACCCUCUGGCUAUGACAUUCCAUCCAAAUUCUUUUCUGCUGAAUAGUCCACCCUUCAAACCCAUCUCUCUCAAUUUAAAGAUAAGGAUGUGGCUGGGGACCAUGUCAAAGGCUUUGGAGAAAUCCAAGUAGAUGACAUCAGUUGCCUUCCCUUUAUCCACCAAGGCCAUCCCUCCUAGAAGGCCACCAGAUUGGUCAGGCACGAUCUUCCCUUGGUGAAACCCUGCUGGCUGUCUCACCUGCUCAUCUCUUAGGUGUCUUAACAUGUCUUCCACGAGGAUCUGUUUCAUGAUCUUUCCAGGCACAAAGGUGAGGCUCACCAGCCUGAUGCUCAUGCAUUUCUGAGCUUCCGGCUCCUCUUAACUCCAUGAGACCCUUUUCCAGGAUUAAAUAAACCCAACAGAGAGGAACAUGCUUAUCCAUAGCACUGACAUCUGUAAGAGGAAAUUGCUGUAGUUUCACAUAUCUUAAUAACUGAAUAUUUCAUUAAGAGCCUGCAUGUCUGGACACUCGAUCAGAUCCUCAGUGAUCCAAAUCUGUCAAGCUUCUAUGGAGAAACCCCUGGCAAUCACAUUUUUUUAUCUUAAUCGACCCUUUGUCUCAUUGUCUCUAACACCAAUGAAACCACAAAUGGUGCUCCAAGAUCAUUUGCCUUGAUAAAAAUGGUAGCAAAUUUAAGAAACACAGAUAUGUAAGUCUUAUUACAAUCUUAAUCAGCAGCACCCAAAUCCAAACUGGAACCAUUAGCCUUCAAGGACAGACUAUUAAAAUAGGUUCUCCACCUCAACAAGAUAAACCUGUCCAUAAUUCAUAUUUGUUUCCAUGAGUAAAUCACUUUGAUCUUGAAUGCAGUCUUUCAACAAAUCAGAACAACGAGAAGAAAAAAAACAACCCCAAAACAUAACUAAGUAUUCAUAUGGAUCACUAAGACAGUGUAAGUAAAGAUAUGAAGUUAUGUACUGAUGCUGCUACCUAGAAAUGAAAUGAUUUGAUUUCACUGUUGCUUGAUCCUUAAACUUCAGUGUGAAACUCUACAGGAGUUUCUUCUGGAGAUGGCUGUUUUUCUUCUGAAUGAGGGCAUCCACAUGAGGGUUUAAUGCAUUGUAAUUUAUGUGCAUUAAACCUACAGCCUCAGAUCAUAACACAUUUCUUGACUGUCCCUAGUUAAACAAAACACAUGUAUUUAUUUGUGAUUGAAGUCAUAGCUGUCUUUCCUAGCACUUGUAGGUGUGGCUUAAUGUAUUGUCUUGACGUGCGUGUCUUUCACAAGCCGCGGAGCGAUGGCUAGUGUAUGAGGCAGAGUGCUCCAUCAGCUACUCCAGAAAGACGGAGCAUACAGUCAAAUAGCAUUUCUAUCCAUGAUUUCCAAAAUUCCAAAGCUAUUAUGGCUUGCAGACAAUGGCCUGUAUUUAUAUUGAAUAAAGUUUCGUUCUUCAUGCUUCAA
ensembl:lncRNA